GGGUCUGAGAGUGGGGUGGGUGUGCAGAGGGUGUCUUUGCGGCCCUGGCCCUCAGCCUGAGGGUCGAGAGGUGGUGGGCUCACUGAGGCGUCAUCACGCGGCACGUGGGUCCCCGAGGCUGUGUCGGGCGGGAGGACCCCUGACCCAGCCUGGCCGCAGGCCCGGCCCCCGUGGAGAUCCGCCGGCCCUCGGGGGCCUUGGAUGAGGAGGCGGCAGUGCUCAGUGCUGGCCCAGCCUCAGCCCCGGGCCUCUGGGAGCCCCCCUGCCCAGGACCUGGCCCCCACCCCCAGCCCUGGCGACCCCCCAGGCGUGGACGGGAUGGAGUACGGGGCUCCUCAGACACUGACCUUUGGGGGACGCGGUUGUGCGUAUUUUACUUUUCUUUGGCUCGUGUGUGAGUUCAAAGUAAAUGCCACCACCGUGGAACAACUCUUGACUUAAACCCACUAGAGCAAGCUUUAAACUAACCUGAGCGUAACCCUGCCACGUGCUCCAUGCUUGUACACGUUUGCACAGAUUUUGUUUAGUACAAUUUCAUAUUUGUUUGCAGAAUUAUCGAAUAGUCUUUUUUGGCUAAUAUUUUUAUAACGUCGUUCUUAUUUAACUGUCUAGUUUUGAUAGAAUUUACCAGGUCUGGCUGGAUUAAGAUAUUGGCAGCGUCAUGUUAGUGGUGUAAAUCCUCUUAUUUAUGGUUUUAACUCUGUAAGAAAAUUUAAAUAGGAAGAGACAAAAAAAAUGCCUUAUGGGAAAACUAAAGCAAAUUCUUUAUAGGAAAACAUAUGGGAAUUUGAUUAUGCAUAAAAGAUGUUUAUUUAAAAGGAAAAGAAAACUACAACAGUAACAAAAAAUCGUAGCCUCCAGUUGCCUUUCCCUUUAACUCCUUUUUUUGGUGGAUUACCAAACUGAUUGACUUUCAGCCUUUUUGGCUAGAUCCUGAGAGAGAGGCUAUUUUUCUUACUGAUGAACCAACGCGAAGAAAGUUAAAGACAAAAAAAAUCUAACAUAUGAAUGUGACUCACCAGGUUUUAUCAGCUAACUCCUUUCUGUGACUGAAGGCAUGCAGUUAACAAGACUUCGUUUACAGUGGGAACGUGGGAAGGAGAGGCUUCUGGAACCCUGUGUCUGUGACCCCCUCUAUCUUACUCCACACUCAGGGUAGAGGUGGGGACAGCGGGGGGGGGGCAGCAUGUCGGGGGCAGCCCAGGCUGACAGGGGGAGGGCCCAGGGCUGGCCCCGACCUACGCACCCGCCCUCCAGACACCCGUUGCAACGUAGAAGUAAUCAUCUCUUACUUGGCAGAGGAAGAAAAAUCAUUCUCACCCGGAAGAGAUUUUUAGCGAACGUGCACUAAUCUUACCUCCCUCUCCCCUGCUUUCCUCACCCCGCCCACCACUAUAUAAAAGUAUUAGGUAAGUCACAAAUGAAAGACCAGAAGAGACUUGCUUCUCCCCAGGGCAGGGCCAUUUCCCCUGAGUCCUGUCUGUCUGGUCAGCUGGCCUGGCGGGCACCUCAGUCUCACUCUACGUGGCGGACGUCUCACCUCUAGCACCAAGGGCAGCUGACAGCUGGGGGUCUCUCCUGGGGGGAUGGGGCCCCUCCCCCCUCUCUGGUUCCAGGAGCUCUGACCCUUGGCGCUGGGCACGGGAGGCUGACUCAGAACAGCCUGCUCGGGCCACUCCUGUUGCCAUGUAGAAGAGCUCACCCGUGCUCCUCCCUGGGGCUACCCCCGGCCCAGAGCUCCUGCCCGGCCCCUGAGACCUGGGGCUGGACCAUGGGCUCCGGAGUCAUCCACGAAGGCCCGUCUGGCCUCUCCCAGCAGCCUGGGGGAGGGUGGGGCAGGGCGGGGCUCGGGGCAAGGUGCUCCCCCGGGAGGUAGGGGCCAUCCCCCUCACUGGGCACAGGACCACGCUACUGGGGUCACGAUUCCCCGUGAGAGGGAGGGGCCCUUCCCGAUGGGACUUUAAGGCCCCGACGUCACAGCCAGUGGCCCACCCAGGCCCAGGCAGACUCCCGCCCAGCUCCUGGCUCAGGCCCACCCCCAGGUGCCUCGUCCGUGUUGCCCGUUGCACUGAUCAUGAAGCCGCUGGUGCUGCCACGCGUGUGGGACACAUGCCAUCAAGCUCCCUCCUGCCGGGCACCGUGGUAGGGGUGUCGCCCAGCCGUUUUCUCAGUCCCAGGGGCGGAUGGCCGGUUUGGAACUUGUGUUGACUGUUGAUACUUAUUUACUGUAUAAAUAUAAUUUAUCAUUUGUAUCAC
ensembl:lncRNA